AAGACCUUGCGCUUUUGGAGCGGCCGAUGUCUGAUUAGCUUGUUGGUAAGGUAAAAGCUUACCAAGGCUUCGAUCAGUAGCUGGUCUGAGAGGACGGCCAGCCACACUGGGACUGAGACACGGCCCAGACUCCUACGGGAGGCAGCAGUGGGGAAUUUUGGACAAUGGGGGCAACCCUGAUCCAGCCAUGCCGCGUGAGUGAAGAAGGCCUUCGGGUUGUAAAGCUCUUUCAGCCGGAACGAAACGGUUACGGUUAAUACCCGUGACUACUGACGGUACCGGAAGAAGAAGCACCGGCUAAUUACGUGCCAGCAGCCGCGGUAAUACGUAGGGUGCAAGCGUUAAUCGGAAUUACUGGGCGUAAAGCGUGCGCAGGUGGUUUUGUAAGUCAGAUGUGAAAUCCCCGGGCUUAACCUGGGAACU
rnacentral:rRNA from 1 species